UGGUAUGGCAUGCAUUAUGGUUAUGAUGACUUACAGUAUGGUAAGGAUAGAGUUGUUGUACUUUAUACAAAAUUCUGGACUUCAUUAUUGUACUUCAGAAAAGACUUUGCCUUACCAUCUUUUCUCUCCCCCUACUCUUUUUAUCAGUGACGACAAAGAACCUGAGGAUUGUGUUAUUCACUACAAAAUUGCAAAAUGGUUAGAGAAGUAAAGCUAAUUAAGGAUAUUCAAGCUCAACAAAGAGGUUGGACAGUAAAAGUGGUGGUUAUUGAGAAAGCAAUGCCACGAGUUUCUAAAUCAAGUCCAAACAAAUAUCAAAGGUUAAUCUUAGCUGAUGAAGAAGGUAAUAAGAUCCAGGCCACAAUAUAUGGUGGAGACAUCCACAUCUUCCGAGACACACUCAUAAUUGGGAAAAAUUAUUAUAUUUCUAAUGCUUGAGUUAAAGAAAUUGGUGCACAAUAUCAGAUUGUUCAAAAUAAUUUGCAAUGGACUAUAAAUGGUCGAACCAUUGUGGAAGAAGUGACUGGAGAUUCAGAGAUAAUUGUGCCUGCUGUUUACAACUUUGUUCCGUUCUCACGACUACACACUUAUAUUGAUUCUCUAUCCCACGUCGAUGUGAUUGGAAUAGCGAUUGAAAUCAAGCCAAAAAAGGAGAUAAUCACGAAUGAUGGCUUAAAGAUUGUCCAAGAGAUGACUUUGAUGAAUGAUAA